rnacentral:tRNA from 1 species
GACUGAGAGAGCUUGUAAAAGCACUUGACUUUUAAUCAAGAGAAAAUAUAAUUAUUUCCAGUUA